UAGAUACUAUGUAUCUUACCAAUGUUUUUUGCUUGGUUUUGAGUUUUAAAGAUUGGUGUAGAAAUUAUUUCUAAUACAAAUAAUGAUUAUUUCUUCCUCAGAGGGUUGAUUUUUAUAGUACGCUGUUUACAAAAACUGAGUAAGUGAAAAUGACAGUUUAUAAAUUUGUACCAUUUAGGAAAAAAUGUUUAUGUAGUGUAGCAUGAAAAACAGCAGAUAAAAAAACCACUGAAGAUGUUAGUUUUUACACAGGUGGUACAAACCUUUAAAACAGACUACAACAUGCAUUACAUGUGCAUUUCUGACCUUAACGUGCAAAAACAAAGCUACUGGUUAAAAUACUUAUUUUUGCUACAAUUGAGUACACUUGUAAAAUUCUUAUUUUUAUCAUUAAUUUCAAUGAAUAGCUUGAAGCUAUUCUGCUUAAAAUGAGAAUAAUUUAAAACAAUAAUAUCGAACACUGUAACCCAAAACUAAUGGAAAACUACAGUGCUGUUGUGAACAAAGCCAGACAACAAAGUCAGACAUUUGGCAAUGUGUAAAACACGAAGAAAAAUGAUCCCCCAAGUUGUAGAACACUGAGAUACACAGAACAGUCUUCUCAUAUAAAUCAAAGGUUUUCAAAGAAAAGGGAAAAUACUCAUUUGUUUGUUGGCAUCACCGAUGUAUAGGUAAGCUGUAGUUAAAUCACCUGGACAAAUACAAAAUUGAUAAUUCCGUCUUUAAAAUAAAAUAACCAAGAACUAUUCCAUAAAUAGGAUGCUACCUACUGGGGAAAAUGUCUAUGCAUGUAGGCUACAUUGUCUUCCGUCCUGGCAGCAGAUGGACUGCAGGUGAAAACACUCAUAGAAUGGAGGUUAAUUAUUUCAUUAGUGAUACUUGAGAAAGUCCCAUUUAUGCCAAACUAGCAGCAUCCCUAAAUAAACAAAACUUUAAAUUUACAGCAUGACGUAUAAGGUACAAAAGUUUUUGAGCAACUGGUUUCCUGCAGACACAGAUGUCAGCAUCUGCUGUCAUCCAGCUCACAUGGGAGAGAGUCACAAGUGUUCUUACCAGUAGCUACUCCUGAAUGGAGCUGCUACUUUCUGUAUAUUUUCCAUAAAGUCAUUUACAUCUGUAACAAGGAUGCCACUGUUUUCAAAGACAUCUCUGGAGACCAACAGGCUUUUCUGUAAAAAGAAAAGUAAGCUUUUUUGGUGAAAAAAUUCAUUAAUACAUUUAAAAGUAGCAAAAAUCCCUUUUAUUGAAAAAAAAAAGACUCAUACACGUGAAGGAAAAAGCGAGCCUGUUUCAAGUGAGGGAUGUGGUUGGAGCUCUGGGAGCAGCCGCCUCCAUGGACGGUGGUGGGAGGGAGGGAGCUGAAACCACUGAUGGGCACUUUUUUUAAAAGCUUAGAUGGUUACACCUAACAGAUCUAGUACAGGUUUUUUUUUUUUUCUUCUAUUAACAGGACAAAACCCACAAUACCUGCUGCCCCAGCCUCGUGUGUGUUUAUUCCUGGCCGCCAAUGACUCCACUUGGAUGGAAGGACGUUUCUAGAGUGGACCUACUGGGCGUUAACUGGUUGAUGAAAAUUAGAACUAAGGCUAUGAAUUUACCUGUAAGGAAGACGGCAAACCUCGCGUGGACGUGCUGAAUUUGCAGGUUUAGCAGACAUUUCAGGUGCUCAGCUUUUGUGAUGAUCGCGAGUCACACUGGUGAUAAUGAAGCAGCUCAAAGAUAUUUGCACUCUGAUACGAUUUCAAUAUUAAGUUCUUUUUAUAUGCAAUUGAAUCCACUCUGAAAAAUACACAAAAAUGUUAAAUUUAGAUAAGUCUAAGUUUGUGAAAGAUUUUCUGUAUCUUAAUUUUCAGUUGCUUUAUUCCUGGACUUUUUCUGGCCUUCACUAUACUUAGUCAAACUCCUUUUCCCUUCUGUGUUCUUUUGUACGACACACUUGGCUUCCCAGACGUCACCAUCCUGUCGAAUUCCCUCAAAACAUUCCGAGUGUACUUACUCCUCGUCCCGUCAGGAAGGACAGCACAUGGCCAUGUGGCUGGCAAGCCUCCCACUCCUUCCCAGCUGGCCCCUUCCUGUCUCAUACAACAGUGCUUCCCGUGCUUUGGCUCUCCAAAACCACUCUACUUCUUUUUGGUUAGAUAGUCACCAACUUCAUUAAGAUCAUCUAACAGCUAGAAUUUUCUCACCUCACUUUUAAUCUUGUUUCUACCUUUUAUUCUUCCUUUUAGAGGAAAGUGUUCCAUCCUGCAGCCCCUCCAGUACUCACACCCUCGCUCCUGCUUGCUGGAGAAAACCCAAAGCCUGCGUAUUUCCAAAGCUCUAGUCACACCAUGAACUGCAUCACGAUGAAUUUCCUUCCAGGUUUUAUCCUUUAUAUGUGUAAAUUUAUAUGCCUGGCAUCAUACUGUACAUAGUUUAUCACUGUGAACAGAAAUUUUUUAUAUGCUUCUAGUUACUAUUUUAUGCUAUGUGUGGCAUUAUUUUGCAUAUUUAAAAAAUUAUGUAUCUAUUUAGUCCUGUAUCUGCCUAGAGAUGAAUUAGAGGAUGGUUUUGUAGCUACUGAUUACCACGCAUGGUUUUUGUUCUGUUUUGUUUUAGUUUUGGACAAAUUCUCCCCACCUCCAAGGGCAAAAGGAUAUGAUAAGUUUUCUGAAAAGUUCUCACUAUUCGAGACUGGCCUGAUGUGAAGAGAUUCCAGUGACAUAAGUGUCUCUGUUUACGCAAAGUCCUAUGCAUGCUGAAAUAAUUUACACUGACGGAUCUUAACAGGUGUGCUCUGCCACCUCAGCUUUCAUCUGCUUCUGUACUUACUCCUGAAGUUGAACCUUCCCUCUGAAGUGCUGUGUUAACUAAGCCCUGUGAGGGCCCCUUGGAGCCCCUUCCUCCCUGACAGUCUCAGCUCUCAGUUCCGCUCCCUCUUUUCCUCCUGUACAAGUUCCUCUCCUAAGUGCAAGCCUUUCCCCAACUGCUAUUCUCGGCCAUCUUUCGAGAUCCCGUGCACAUCCACAAUUUCAGUUGUCUUCCUUGGAGAAAGCAGUGCGGUCAAACAGAAGGUAACUGUCAGGUUGGAGACGAACAUUCCGGGUCAAAGCCCAGCUUCCUGACUUCCUCCUUGUCUGCCUGGGUCAGGUCUGGCAUCCUCUGUGCCUCAACUUCCACAUCAUUAAAGUGGGUUUGUACUGUCUGCUUCCUAUGUGUGAACUUAUUAGGACAGUCCUGUGACAGAUGACCUGUCCCAUUUAUAGACUCCCCCAGUCCACCUCUGCAUUCCCACACUCCUUUUCCCGUCUCAUUACAACCUGCAGGCCCAUCUUUGAUACGGAAGGGCCUCCCGCAGGCCCCAAGUCUCAUUUAAGGGAGUCUGCCUGUUUCUAGUCUAUUAUUUAAGAGUUAAAUUAAGGCUACACGCUGGUCUCAAUUUUUCUGUCCUUAUAACUGGAGCAACCUAAUUUAUGAAUAAAUGUCCAAAAACC
ensembl:lncRNA